GGGGAAUCUUGGACAAUGGGCGCAAGCCUGAUCCAGCCAUGCCGCGUGCAGGAUGAAGGCCUUCGGGUUGUAAACUGCUUUUGUACGGAACGAACAGGUGCCUUCUAAUAAAGGGCGCUCAUGACGGUACCGUAAGAAUAAGCACCGGCUAACUACGUGCCAGCAGCCGCGGUAAUACGUAGGGUGCGCGCGUUAAUCGGAAUUACUGGGUGUAAAGGGUCUGUAGGCGGCCCUUCAAGUCGCGUGUCAAAGUCCAGUGCUCAACGCUGGGUGCGCGCGCGAUACUGACGGGCUUGAGGGCUGGAGAGGUGAGCGGAAUUCCCGGUGUAGUGGUAAAAUACGUAGAGAUCGGGAGGAACACCAGCGGCGCAGGCGGCUCACUAGACAGUUUCUGACGCUAAGAUACGAAAGCGUGGGGAGCAAACA
rnacentral:rRNA from 1 species